rnacentral:rRNA from 1 species
GGGUUCGAUUAAAGCCGGGAUUGAAGACCUUUGGCGGGAUGCUUUACACAUGCAAGUCGAACGGCAGCACGGACUUCGGUCUGGUGGCAGGUAUGAACAGGUGAGUAAUGUAUCCGGAACGUGCCUAUUAGCGGGGGAUAACUACGCGAAAGCGUAAUAAUACCACGCCGCGCCCUUCGGGGAAAAGCAGGGGACCUUCGGGCCUCGCACCUUAGAGCAGCCGAUAUCGGAUUAGCUAGUUGGUGGGGUAACGGCUCGCAAGGCGACGAUCCAUGUAGCUGGUUUGAAGGACGACCAGCCACCUGGGACUGAGACACGGCGAACUCCUACAGGAGGCAGCGGUGAUUUUGGACAAUGGGGAAGCCUGAUCAGCCAUCCCGCGUCUGUUACGUGAAGGCCUUCGGGUUGUAAAGCAACACUGGCAGGAAAAACAGCUGGGAUAAUACCCCGUGCAACUGACGGUACCUGCAGAAUAUACACCGGCUAACUACGUGCCAGCAGCCGCGAUAUACGACCGGGGUUGCAACGUUAAUCGGAAUUACUGGGCGUAAAGCGUGCGCAGGCGGUUUCGGGAAAGAUGUGAAAUCCCAGAGCUUAACUUUGGAACUGCAUUUUUAACUACCGAGCUAGAGUGUGUCAGAGGUGGAAUUCCGCGUCGUGGCAGUGAAAUGCGUAGAUAUGCGGAGGAACACCGAUGGCGGAAGCAGCCUCUGAUGUUUAUUCUGACGCUCAUGCAAAAGCGUGGGGAGCAAACCAGGAUUAGAUGCCCUGGUAGUCCACGCCCUAAACGAUGUCAACUAGCUGUUAUGGGGCCUUCGGGCCUUGGUAGCGCAGCUAACGCGCAAGUUGACGCGCAAGGGUACGGUCGCAAGAUUACAACUCAAAGGAGAUGACGGGGACCGCACAGGCGGUGGAUGAUGUGGAUUAAUUCGAUGCAACGCGAAAAACCUUACCUACCCUUGACAUGUCUGGAAUCCCGAAGGGUGGGAGUGCUCGCAAGGAGCAGAACCUAGGUGCUGCAUGGCUGUCGUCAGCUCAUUCAUCUGUGAAUGUUGGGUUAGAAUCCGCAACAGGCGCAACCAUAUCGUGGUGCUACGAAAGGGCACUCUAAUGAGACUGCCGGUGACAAACCGAGGAAGGUGGGGAUGACGUCAGAGUCCUCAUGGCCCUUAUGGGUAGGGCUUCACACGUCAUACAAUGGUCGGACAGAGGGUCGCCAACCCGCGAGGGAGCCAAUCCCAGAAACCCGAUCGUAGUCCGGAUCGCAGUCUGCAACUCGACUGCGUGAAGUCGGAAUCGCUAGUAAUCGCGGAUCAGCAUGUCGCGGUGAAUACGUUCCCGGGUCUUGUACACCUGCCGUCCACCAUCGGGAGUGGGGUUUUACCAGAAGUAGUUAGCCUAACCGUAAGGGCGAUUACUACGAUGGAUAUGACUGCGAGGUGAUGGCAAGGUAAG